rnacentral:lncRNA from 1 species
GCCGAAUGAAGAAGAUGUAAAAUGGUUUCAUCUUUUAUCUUUCCUUUAUCAAUUAUAAAAUGUUUUCAGUUAAUAAUUUAGGUUAAUUAAAUUUCAAGAACUUGGAUAUUCACCCAAUAAGGACUUGCUAAAUUUCCUAAUUCAAUUCUCACUCCACUAUACCAUUUAGUCUGUAUACUUUUAUUAUAAUUUAAUUACUGGCUAAUGUGAUUUCUCAAUCUCAUAUUCACCCCAUUCAACCUUUUAGCUAUCUUAACUUUUCAUAUCCGGUCCCGAAACUGAUUUUUUCAACACCGAAAAAAUCAGGUCGUCAUAAAAAAAAGCUCAAACAAAAAUGCUUUGGAGCAAGCAAAUUGAACAAAGGUCCAUAAAAUAGAGAACUCGACGAUUGCAAAUGGUGAUACAGACUUAGAACACAGAAAAACUUCAAAAGUUGUAACAGAAAAAGUGACAUAUAUAGAGUCUUCUUGCAACCUGCUGCUCAUCAUUGCUCCUUCUCCCAGGCGCAGUCAGUUUAGUCCGGCAUUUAUUGUGAAUAUUCUAGAAGCCUUCAAGCAACCUUUCACGCCCAUCAACAUGCUGAACCACUCGUGAUGCACAUCCCGGUCGUUCUACCUCUCGAGCAACUCACGGGCAAGAAUGUAACCUAGGGAGACAAUUUUUAAGCCACCGCCUGGGCUAAAUACGUGUCACUUCAGAAAGUAUUAGGUGCAUGCCUGAAAGAUAGUUUUCCAC